rnacentral:rRNA from 1 species
AUUCCUACGGGAGGCAGCAGUGGGGAAUAUUGGACAAUGGGGGGAACCCUGAUCCAGCCAUGCCGCGUGUGUGAAGAAGGCCUUAUGGUUGUAAAGCACUUUAAGCGAGGAGGAGGCUACUGAGACUAAUACUCUUGGAUAGUGGACGUUACUCGCAGAAUAAGCACCGGCUAACUCUGUGCCAGCAGCCGCGGUAAUAAU